GAUGAACGCUGGCGGCGUGCCUAAUACAUGCAAGUCGAGCGAACAGACGAGGAGCUUGCUCCUCUGACGUUAGCGGCGGACGGGUGAGUAACACGUGGAUAACCUACCUAUAAGACUGGGAUAACUUCGGGAAACCGGAGCUAAUACCGGAUAAUAUAUUGAACCGCAUGGUUCAAUAGUGAAAGACGGUUUUGCUGUCACUUAUAGAUGGAUCCGCGCCGCAUUAGCUAGUUGGUAAGGUAACGGCUUACCAAGGCAACGAUGCGUAGCCGACCUGAGAGGGUGAUCGGACACACUGGAACUGAGACACGGUCCAGACUCCUACGGGAGGCAGCAGUAGGGAAUCUUCCGCAAUGGGCGAAAGCCUGACGGAGCAACGCCGCGUGAGUGAUGAAGGUCUUCGGAUCGUAAAACUCUGUUAUUAGGGAAGAACAAAUGUGUAAGUAACUAUGCACGUCUUGACAGUACCUAAUCAGAAAGCCACGGCUAACUACGUG
rnacentral:rRNA from 1 species